CAGCAGCCACGGUAAUACGUAGGUGGCAAGCGUUGUCCGGAAUUAUUGGGCGUAAAGGGCUCGCAGGCGGUUUCUUAAGUCUGAUGUGAAAGCCCCCGGCUCAACCGGGGAGGGUCAUUGGAAACUGGGAAACUUGAGUGCAGAAGAGGAGAGUGGAAUUCCACGUGCAGCGGUGAAAUGCGUAGAGAUGUGGAGGAACACCAGUGGCGAAGGCGACUCUCUGGUCUGUAACUGACGCUGAGGAGCGAAAGCGUGGGGAGCGAACAGGAUUAGAUACCCGGGUAGUCCCUGUCUCUUAUAC
rnacentral:rRNA from 1 species